CUUUGGGAUAACCCUCGGAAACGGGGGCUAAUACCGGGUAUGACCACUUGUCGCAUGGUGGGUGGUGGAAAGAUUUGUUGGCUAGGGAUGGGCUCGCGGCCUAUCAGCUGGUUGGUGGGGUGAUGGCCUACCAAGGCGACGACGGGUAGCCGGCCUGAGAGGGCGACCGGCCACACUGGGACUGAGACACGGCCCAGACUCCUACGGGAGGCAGCAGUGGGGAAUAUUGCACAAUGGGCGGAAGCCUGAUGCAGCGACGCCGCGUGAGGGAUGACGGCCUUCGGGUUGUAAACCUCUUUCGACCCUGACGAAGCGUGAGUGACGGUAGGGGGAGAAGAAGCGCCGGCCAACUACGUGCCAGCAGCCGCGGUAAGACGUAGGGCGCGAGCGUUGUCCGGAUUUAUUGGGCGUAAAGAGCUCGUAGGCGGCUCGUUGCGUCGGCUGUGAAAACCCGCAGCUCAACUGUGGGCUUGCAGCCGAUACGGGCGGGCUGGAGUUCGGUAGGGGAGACUGGAAUUCCUGGUGUAGCGGUGAAAUGCGCAGAUAUCAGGAGGAACACCGGUGGCGAAGGCGGGUCUCUGGGCCGAUACUGACGCUGAGGAGCGAAAGCGUGGGGAGCGAACAGGAUUAGAUACCCUGGUAGUCCACGCUGUAAACGUUGGGCGC
rnacentral:rRNA from 1 species